AUUGAACGCUGGCGGCAGGCUUAACACAUGCAAGUCGAACGAGUGGCGGACGGGUGAGUAAUGUCUGGGAAACUGCCUGAUGGAGGGGGAUACCUACUAGAAACGGUAGCUAAUACCGCAUACCAUCGGAUGAGCCCAGAUGGGAUUAGCUAGUAGGUGGGGUAAAGGCUGACCUAGGCGACGAUCCCUAGCUAGUCUGAGAGGAUGACCAGCCACACUGGAACUGAGACACGUUCCAGACUCCUACGGGAGGCAGCAGUGGGGAAGAUUGCAGAAGGGGCUCAAGCCUGAUGCAGCCAUGCCGCGUGUAUGAAGAAGGCCUUCGGGUUGUAAAGUACUUUCAGCGGGGAGGCGUUACCCGAAGAAGAAGCACCGGCUAACUCCGUGCCAGCAGCCGCGGUAAUAC
rnacentral:rRNA from 1 species